rnacentral:rRNA from 1 species
AUUGAACGCUGGCGGCAGGCCUAACACAUGCAAGUCGAGCGGAUGAAGGGUGCUUUCUCCUGGAUUCAGCGUCGGACGGGUGUGUAAUGCCUAUGAAUCUGCCUGGUUGUGGUUUAUAACGUCCUGAAACGGGCGCUAAUACCGCAUACGUCCUUAGGGUGCUAGUUGGUGUUCUUCGGACCUCUCCCUCUCUUAUGUGCCUAGGUCGGAUUUGCUAGUUGGUGGGGGAAAGUCCUACCAAGCCGACGAUCCGUAACUGGUCUGAGAGGAUGAUCAGUCACACUGGAACGGAGACACGGACCAGAGUACUACGGGAGGGAGCAGAGGGGAAUAUUGGACAAUGGGCGAAAGCAUGAUACAGAAAGGCCGAGUGUGAGAAGAAGGACUUGGGAGUGUAAAGAACGUUAAGUUGGGAGGAAGGGAAGUAAGAUAAAACCAUGCGGUAUUGACGUUAACAAGAGAAUAAGCACCGGCUAACUACGUG